UACGGAGGGUGCAAGCGUUAUCCGGAUUUACUGGGUUUAAAGGGUGCGUAGGCGGAUCUUUAAGUCAGUGGUGAAAUCUCUCGGCUCAACCGAGAAACUGCCAUUGAUACUAUUGAUCUUGAAUACAGUUGAGGUGGGCGGAAUGUGUCGUGUAGCGGUGAAAUGCUUAGAUAUGACACAGAACACCGAUUGCGAAGGCAGCUCGCUAAACUGUGAUUGACGCUGAGGCA
rnacentral:rRNA from 1 species